GACGGUCAUAUAGCGUUGAAACACCAGUUCCUGUACGAUCACCGUAGUUAAGCAACGCCAAGCCCGGUCAUUAUCUUGACGAGUGACCGCUUGGGAAUACCAGGUGUUGUAA